CAGUCGCCGCGGUAAUACGGAGGGUGCAAGCGUUAAUCGGAAUUACUGGGCGUAAAGCGCACGCAGGCGGUCUGACAAGUCAGAUGUGAAAUCCCCGGGCUUAACCUGGGAACUGCAUUUGAAACUGUCAGGCUGGAGUCUUGUAGAGGGGGGUAGAAUUCCAGGUGUAGCGGUGAAAUGCGUAGAGAUCUGGAGGAAUACCGGUGGCGAAGGCAGCCAUCUGGCCUAAUACUGACGCUGAGGUACGAAAGCAUGGGGAGCAAACAGGAUUAGAUACCCGAGUAGUCCCUGUCUCUUAUAC
rnacentral:rRNA from 1 species